GUUNUUGNAACCUGUGGCGUGCCUAAUACAUGCAAGUAGGACGCACAGUCUAUACCGUAGCUUGCUACACCAUAGACUGUGAGUUGCGAACGGGUGAGUAACGCGUAGGUAACCUGCCUAUUAGAGGGGGAUAACUAUUGGAAACGAUAGCUAAUACCGCAUAACAGUAUGUAACACAUGUUAGAUGCUUGAAAGAUGCAAUUGCAUCGCUAGUAGAUGGACCUGCGUUGUAUUAGCUAGUAGGUAGGGUAAUGGCCUACCUAGGCGACGAUACAUAGCCGACCUGAGAGGGUGAUCGGCCACACUGGGACUGAGACACGGCCCAGACUCCUACGGGAGGCAGCAGUAGGGAAUCUUCGGCAAUGGGGGGAACCCUGACCGAGCAACGCCGCGUGAGUGAAGAAGGUUUUCGGAUCGUAAAGCUCUGUUGUUAAGGAAGAACGAGUGUGAGAAUGGAAAGUUCAUACUGUGACGGUACUUAACCAGAAAGGGACGGCUAACUACGUGCCAGCAGCCGCGGUAAUACGUAGGUCCCGAGCGUUGUCCGGAUUUAUUGGGCGUAAAGCGAGCGCAGGCGGUUAGAAAAGUCUGAAGUGAAAGGCAGUGGCUCAACCAUUGUAGGCUUUGGAAACUGUUUAACUUGAGUGCAGAAGGGGAGAGUGGAAUUCCAUGUGUAGCGGUGAAAUGCGUAGAUAUAUGGAGGAACACCGGUGGCGAAAGCGGUNUCUGGUCUGUAACUGACGCUGAGCUCGAAAGCGUUGGGGAGCGACAGGAUUAGAUCCCCUG
rnacentral:rRNA from 1 species